UGCAAGUCGAGGGGUAGCAUGAUUGUAGCAAUACAAUUGAUGACGACCGGCAAACGGGUGCGGAACACGUACACAACCUUCCUACAAGUGGGGAAUAGCCCAGAGAAAUUUGGAUUAAUACCCCGUAACAUAGCGAUGUGGCAUCACAUUGCUAUUAUAGCUUCGGCGCUUGUUGAUGGGUGUGCGGCUGAUUAGAUAGUUGGCGGGGUAACGGCCCACCAAGUCUACGAUCAGUAGCUGAUGUGAGAGCAUGAUCAGCCACACGGGCACUGAGACACGGGCCCGACUCCUACGGGAGGCAGCAGUAAGGAAUAUUGGACAAUGGACGCAAGUCUGAUCCAGCCAUGCCGCGUGAAGGAUUAAGGUCCUCUGGAUUGUAAACUUCUUUUAUAAGGGACGAAAAAAGGUCUUUCUAGAUCGUCUGACGGUACCUUAUGAAUAAGCACCGGCUAACUCCGUGCCAGCAGCCGCGGUAAUACGGAGGGUGCAAGCGUUAUCCGGAUUCACUGGGUUUAAAGGGUGCGUAGGCGGGCAGGUAAGUCAGUGGUGAAAUCCUAGAGCUCAACUCUAGAACUGCCAUUGAUACUAUCUGUCUUGAAUAUUGUGGAGGUAAGCGGAAUAUGUCAUGUAGCGGUGAAAUGCUUAGAUAUGACAUAGAACACCUAUUGCGAAGGCAGCUUACUACGCAUAUAUUGACGCUGAGGCACGAAAGCGUGGGGAUCAAACAGGAUUAGAUACCCUGGNAGUCCACGCCCUAAACGAUGGAUACUCGACAUACGCGAUACACUGUGUGUGUCUGAGCGAAAGCAUUAAGUAUCCCACCU
rnacentral:rRNA from 1 species